GAGAGUCUCUGACACAGCUGUGCUCUGCAGCCCAGACACCCUGCUUAUCUGUGAUUCGGCCAGACUGGUGUUGAACUCCUCCAAAGGCAUGCGCGGGGUUAGGACAGUGAAGUGUCUGACACUGACCAUGUACCAGUGCCUGAGAACACUGGUAUGGAGGGGGAGAACGCACCUCUUUACUGCAUUUGUCGGAAACCAGACAUCAACUGCUUCAUGAUCCUUUGCCAUGAUAAAUUGGUCAGUUUACAACCAGGAGCCGUACACCUUAACCUCAGAGGCCAGGACAUCCAGGGGCAGUGUGAACACACACUUCUUUAAAUGGGAUGCAGGACUGACUAUAGAGGGCCACCCCCUCGCCAGACAACCAAGUGCUGUCCCUGUGCACGGCCAGUGUGAGAAGGACUCUCACUAAAGUCAACCCACACAAAGCUGCUGGACCAGACAAUAUACCCGGACGUGUGCUCGGAGCCUGUGCUGACCAGCUGACUGAUGUCCUAGCGGGCAUCUUUAACAUCUCCCUGAGUCAAGCUGUUGUGCCAAGUGCUUUAAAACCACCACCAUCUUACCUGUACCAAAGACAGCUACAGCCUCGCAGUUCGAAGACAAUGGACGAUGCGAUCUCAUUGGCACUCCACCUAGCCCUAUCACAACUGGAUCAAUGCAACGUCCACCUAAGAAUGCUGUUCACUGAUUUCAUCUUAGCAUUCAACACCAUCAUUGCCCAGCAGCUGAUCGGCAAGCUGGACCUGCUCAGACUUAACACCUCCACCUGCAACAGGAUCCUGGUCUUUCUUACUGAUGGACCCCAGACAGUACAGGUUGGAAACAUAAGAUCCAACACCAUCACACUGAGCACAGCCCCCCCCCCAGGGAUGUGUGCUGAGCCCGCUACUCUUCACGCUGCUGACCCACGACUGCACCUCCAGCUCCAACAUGUGAUGAGUCAAUGUUGUGAUUGUUUGUGAUUUAUGGUCCCCCUCUCUCCUAGCCUCCACCACCCAACAAACAGUCUGUGCUUCCAAGUGUUACUUAGUGUCUUUGUCUGAAAACUUAAUAAAUUGUUAACUGUUGACUCAGUUUUCUCCUGUUUUUCACUUAGAAGGUCAGGUAAGUAAAUUGUCUUUUGGUUGGAUUUUUUUUUUCUUUUUUAGGGACGCUUAGGAGUGUUUAGGUAUUUGUUGUUUGUUAUUUUUGGCAUUGCUCACUGCCGAUGUAAAUAAAUGGCUGCU
ensembl:lncRNA